GGCUGCUGGGGGAAGCAGAAACUCUCCGCUUGGUCUCUCAGUUGCUGCUGUCCAUCGACAAGAUCUCUAACCUCAACUCAGAGUCCUGAACUCCUCCAGACCACCAGGUCUCUCUUAGACCUCCUCCAGACCACCAGGUCUCUCUUAGACCUCCUCCAGACCCUUGUCUCUGACAGACAGGAUGUGGUUGUCAUGUAAAUGACCCUGAAAGGACAAACUUUGAGGUCAGAGGUCACAGAAACACCUGCAGCUUGUUUUGAAUCAUGUUCGGUUGAUUCGGCAGCUGUAAAUUGUUUUAUAAUAAAUUAAUUUUAAAUUCAUUAUUCUGGUGCACUUUGAGAGGCUAGAUCUGUGAGGAAAUUUGUUCUCUAGUAAACAGUUUGACCACAGUGUACAGAUAUAAAUGGUGAUAAUGCAGCAAAUAAGUCAGCAAAUGUAUUUAAUGUUUUUUCCAGCAGCCAAAAAUCAAAGAAUAAAAUAAUUUCCCAACA